rnacentral:sRNA from 1 species
UAAUAGGUAUAUAUGGAUGGUGCAGUAUUCUAGUCGGUCUACCAUUCCUGAAGGUGGGGCUAAAAAUCCACUAAAGGGCACAUCGAUGAAGUUCCUUGUUUUGGCUUGAGGCGCCCAGCCUUGGGUCGAUUCAGGGAGUAAGGUGUAAGGGCGAUCUGCAAAGGCAUGUGGGCGUUGACCCUUUCACCGCGGAGGCCCCGAUGAUCAGGCUUGAGCGAAAGCGUACGGCCCUAUGGUCUCGGGUUAUGAACCUGCAAUGUGGUCCCAUGGGAGGUCACUAGCAGCGUAGCCUGCCUUGAGUGAAGAUAGAGGGGAUUACAGUUAUAAGGGCAUACAUCAGUUGGCCAUUGAUAUAUGCUUUUUCGCCUGUAUGAAAUCUUCUUUGCAAAAGAGGCUAGGGAAAUGGUUAAAGGCUGCCGAGGAAAUCUCCUAGACUGUUCCAAUGACAUAUAAAGGGGAUUAUAGUGCGGACUAAGUGGCAAUCCAGUCUAGCUGGUGGCGACACGGCUAAGGCGUAUUUAAAGGGAAACCGCCGGUAUGGCGACAUCCGGUAUUCGCUUGGGAAAACCUACUGGACCUAAGCCGCAAUCUUAACCCUUUGUAUGGCCAUCCUUCUUUCGAGUUUC